rnacentral:rRNA from 1 species
UGGGGAAUAUUGGGCAAUGGAGGAAACUCUGACCCAGCGACGCCGCGUGCGGGAUGAAGGCCUUCGGGUUGUAAACCGCUUUCAGUAGGGAAGAAGCGAAAGUGACGGUACCUACAAAAGAAGCACCGGCUAACUAUGUGCCAGCAGCCGCGGUAAUACAUAGGGUGCAAGCGUUGUCCGGAAUUAUUGGGCGUAAAGAGCUCGUAGGUCGUUUGUUCCGUCGGAUGUGAAAACCUGAGGCUCAACCUCAGGCCUGCAUUCGAUACGGGCAAACUAGAGUUUGGUAGGGGAGACUGGAAUUCCUGGUGUAGCGGUGGAAUGCGCAGAUAUCAGGAGGAACACCAAUGGCGAAGGCAGGUCUCUGGGCCAAUACUGACACUGAGGAGCGAAAGUCUGGGGAGCAAACAGGAUUAGAUACCCUGGUAGUCCAGACCGUAAACGGUGGGCACUAGUUGUGGGAACCUUCCACGGUUUCUGCGACGCAGCUAACGCAUUAAGUGCCCCGCCUGGGGAGUACGAUCGCAAGAUUA